GACGUAGGGCGCGAGCGUUGUCCGGAUUUAUUGGGCGUAAAGAGCUCGUAGGCGGCUUGUCGCGUCGACUGUGAAAACCCGCGGCUCAACUGCGGGCCUGCAGCCGAUACGGGCAGGCUAGAGUUCGGUAGGGGAGACUGGAAUUCCUGGUGUAGCGGUGAAAUGACGCAGAUAUCAGGAGGAACACCGAUGGCGAAGGCAGGUCACUGGGCCGCAACUGACGCUGAGGAGCGAAAGCAUGGGGAGCGAACAGG
rnacentral:rRNA from 1 species